CAGCCGCCGCGGUAAAACGUAGGGUGCAAGCGUUAAUCGGAAUUACUGGGCGUAAAGCGUGCGCAGGCGGUUAUAUAAGUCAGAUGUGAAAUCCCCGGGCUCAACCUGGGAACUGCAUUUGUGACUGGCAGGCUAGAGUAUGGCAGAGGGGGGUGGAAUUCCGCGUGUAGCAGUGAAAUGCGUAGAUAUGCGGAGGAACACCGAUGGCGAAGGCAGCCCCCUGGGCCAAUACUGACGCUCAUGCACGAAAGCGUGAGGAGCAAACAGGAUUAGAUACCCCCGUAGUCCCUGUCUCUUAUAC
rnacentral:rRNA from 1 species